GGUAAAAUGGCUGAGGAUAGGCAAUAAAUUGUAAAUUUAUUUACGAAUAAGUAAUUCUUUUACCA
rnacentral:tRNA from 1 species